UCGAGGGGCAGCAGGUUUGUAGCAAUACAGAUGCUGGCGACCGGCAAACGGGUGCGGAACACGUACGCAACCUUCCUCCAACUGGGAGAUAGCCCACCGAAAGGUGGAUUAAUACCCCAUAACAUAUUUGAGUGGCAUCACUUGGAUAUUAAAGUUCCGACGGUUGGAGAUGGGCGUGCGCCUGAUUAGGUAGUUGGCGGGGUAACGGCCCACCAAGCCUGCGAUCAGUAGCUGAUGUGAGAGCAUGAUCAGCCACACGGGCACUGAGACACGGGCCCGACUCCUACGGGAGGCAGCAGUAAGGAAUAUUGGUCAAUGGACGCAAGUCUGAACCAGCCAUGCCGCGUGGAGGAUGAAGGUCCUCUGGAUUGUAAACUUCUUUUCUCUGGGACGAAACCCCCGAUUUCUAUCGGGCCUGACGGUACCAGAGGAAUAAGCACCGGCUAACUCCGUGCCAGCAGCCGCGGUAAUACGGAGGGUGCAAGCGUUAUCCGGAUUUACUGGGUUUAAAGGGAGCGUAGGCGGGCAGUUAAGUCAGUGGUGAAAUCUCUGGGCUUAACCCGGAAACUGCCAUUGAUACUAUCUGUCUUGAAUAUUCUGGAGGUAAGCGGAAUAUGUCAUGUAGCGGUGAAAUGCUUAGAUAUGACAUAGAACACCCAUUGCGAAGGCAGCUUACUACGGGAUUAUUGACGCUGAGGCUCGAAAGCG
rnacentral:rRNA from 1 species